UGAAUGCCAUCACUGCAGACGAGUUAUUAUGCCUUUGUAUUAUUGGUCUUAUUAUUCCUUGAUGGUGGAGAACAAAAUACAAUGGGUCAUAGAGGAGCUCUUGGUUGAGUAGAGAUAAGAUGUAAGUCCUAGCUUGUUUAUAGGUCACAUGAUUGGGAUCUGCAGGAUCUACAGCAGUCAGGUAAGCCCAGCAGUUCAUGGUCUUGGUUGCACACCGGAACUAUUUGGAAAAGCUUAGAGAUUUUGAACUUGGGGCCUCAGCCAUGGACUGUGCCU
rnacentral:lncRNA from 1 species